GGGUGUAAGGGUGAUCGUGCUGUGACAUCAGUCAACUCUUCGAUCGCCAGAGUUGAUUUGGCUGAUCUGGUUGGCUAGGCAGGUAUCUCUAUCAUGUAUGCCAGUCUUAAGACAAGGAAGACUGUCCUUCAGGCUGUGCUUUCCUACUAAAAACUCCCAGAAAAAAAAACUUGUGAAAAGAGUGAAUAGAAUCAUUUAAAAUUUUUUUAAAUUAUUUUUAAAGAUUUUUUUGUAACAUCUUUAUAAGUCUUGUUAGGGCCUGGCUUAUUAC
rnacentral:snRNA from 1 species